rnacentral:lncRNA from 1 species
UUACGGAUAUUCAAAUUUAUUAGUGGAAUCAAAUCUAACGAAUAAUAUUUUAGUAUAUUAAGAGGUUGAUUGAAAAGAGUGGUAAGUACUUAAUUUGGAAUCUUUAUAACCAAAUCAUGUUUUAGCUUUGAAAGUAAAUCUACAGCACAUAAAUAGAAAGAAAAUAUAUUAGUUCUGGAAAAUAUUUUUUUUUGCAACUUUUAUUCAUUGUUUUAAAUAUAUUUGAAAAUAAUUCUUUAGCAAAAAAACUCACCGUCUUUUUUUCCUAUGUAAAUUUCAUUAGCAAACCAAGAUGAACAAGAACAAAUACAGACAUUAAGCAUACAGAAACAUAAAUAUCCCCCAAGUCUAAGUCCACAUAUGGAAAACAAGAAAAACAAAAUGAUUAAAAUUACAGAACAAAGCACUUAGUUAGAGAAACAUCAUCUUUUAAACAAAACAUAAGAUUAGAAUGUUGAAGUCCAAUGGAGCAGAAGGCUUCGACACCGAAGCAUCUCACUCAGCAGAUGUCACAAAAGCAUACCACCAACGAAGACAAGAUGCUCUUUCUUAAUCCGGCGAAGCUACAACACUAAUCAACACAAACUCGAACAUCUCUGAGAGAGAACAAAUUAAAGACUCACCCUUAGGAAAAUAGAGAUAUCUCAGAACUCGCAAUUUCCAAACCUUCAACCGGCUAACGCAGAGGGACCCUCGCAAACACAGAGAGAAACCCACAAAGAUGACUGCGAGAAGGAUAAAUGGAGAAGGUAUCGACGACAAGAGAAGGAAAACAAAAUAGCUUUUUGAAGAGCGUAUCCAUUCCAAAGUACUAUUUUUCAUAGGCAAGAGAAACGAAAACAACAUAUACCAUCAUUCCAAAGAGCAGCCAAAACUAAUCUGACAACCAUAUCUAAAACCAGCAGAAGCAACGACCACCGAAAACUACCGCUGCAACUAGGCACAAACCGACAAUAAAAAGAAGAUGAUCUCUAACCCAUCAUCAAUAAAGGAAAAUGGAGACAACCCGAAUGAACCAAAAACAUAACUAGUCCACUUCGAUGAUGUCGUUGAUGGGCCUCGUUACCCGAAGACGAAACAGUGCAUAGCCGUUUAAAAAAAAGUAAAUCACAAAGGGAGUUCAGCUCUGGUGCGAACGGAGCCACCAUAGUUGAUCAAAACUCAACUUGUUUGUUAGAUCUGGUAUUUUUAGAGGGAAAAGAGAGAGAGUGUAGGUAAAAAAAAAAAACUACAGCACCAUUUCUUAAACAGUUGACUAUUUGUUGUUAUAAAAAGU